rnacentral:rRNA from 1 species
GAUGAACGCUGGCGGCGUGCCUAAUACAUGCAAGUCGAGCGAAUGGAUUAAGAGCUUGCUCUUAUGAAGUUAGCGGCGGACGGGUGAGUAACACGUGGGUAACCUGCCCAUAAGACUGGGAUAACUCCGGGAAACCGGGGCUAAUACCGGAUAACAUUUUGAACCGCAUGGUUCGAAAUUGAAAGGCGGUUUCGGCUGUCACUUAUGGAUGGACCCGCGUCGCAUUAGCUAGUUGGUGAGGUAACGGCUCACCAAGGAAACGAUGCGUAGCCGACCGAAGAGGGUGAUCGGCCACACUGGGACUGAGACACGGCCCAGACUCCUACGGGCGGCAGCAGUAGGGAAUCUUCCGCAAUGGACGAAAGUCUGACGGAGCAACGCCGCGUGAGUGAUGAAGGCUUUCGGGUCGUAAAACUCUGUUGUUAGGGAAGAACAAGUGCUAGUUGAAUAAGCUGGCACCUUGACGGUACCUAACCAGAAAGCCACGGCUAACUACGUGCCAGCCGCCGCGGUAA